rnacentral:rRNA from 1 species
AACGAACGCUGGCGGCGUGCCUAACACAUGCAAGUCGAGCGCGAAAAGGACAACCUGAGUAGAGCGGCGCACGGGUGCGUAACGCGUGGGUAAUCUGCCUUAGAGUCGAGGAUAACCUUCCGAAAGGUUGGCUAAUACUCGGUAAGCUUACGGUGUCUUCGGACGCUGUGGGAAAAGUAGGCCUCUGUUUACAAGCUUACGCUCUGAGAUGAGCCCGCGGCCCAUCAGCUAGUUGGCGGUGUAACGGACCACCAAGGCAACGACGGGUAGCUGGUCUGAGAGGACGAUCAGCCACACUGGAACUGAGACACGGUCCAGACUCCUACGGGAGGCAGCAGUGGGGAAUUUUCCACAAUGGGCGAAAGCCUGAUGGAGCAACGCCGCGUGUGUGAUGAAGGUUUUCGGAUCGUAAAGCACUUUCGACCGGGACGAAAAACCUCUGGCUAACAUCCAGGGGCCUGACGGUACCGGGAGAAGAAGCACCGGCUAACUCUGUGCCAGCCGCCGCGGUAA